rnacentral:rRNA from 1 species
GGCUAACGCUGGCGGCGUGUCUUAGCCAUGCAAGUCGAGCGGACUUAUGGGGUAACUUAUAAGUCAGCGGCGGACGGCGGAGUAACACGUAGCUAACCUACCCUCUGGACGGGGAUAACCUACCGAAAGGUGGGCUAAUACCCGAUGUAGUCAUCCUGUAUAGGGGUGAUGAAAGGUGGGCUUCUGUUUACAAGCUCAUGCUGGAGGAGGGGGCUGCGGCCUAUCAGGUAGUUGGUAGGGUAAUAGCCUACCAAGCCGAUGACGGGUAGCCGGCCUGGAGGGUGACCGGCCCGAGGGGCACUGAGAUACGGGUCCCACGUCCUACGGGAGGCAGCAGGCUAGAAAUUUGGGCAAUGGGGGAAACCCUGACCCAGUGACGCCGCGUGCAGGAAGGAGCCCUUCGGGGUGUAAACUGCUGUCGUGUAGGGAGAAGGGUACUAAGGUGAACAAUCUUAGUACUUGACGGUACUACAGGAGGAAGCCCAGGCUAACCUCGUG